AUUGAACGCUGGCGGCAGGCCUAACACAUGCAAGUCGAACGAGUGGCGGACGGGUGAGUAAUGUAUGGGACACUGCAUGAUGGAGGGGGAUCACUACCGGAAACGGUUGCCAAUACCGUACACAUUAGGCUGUGCCCAGUUGGGAUUGGCUAGUAGUGGGGGUAACGGCUCACCUAGGCGACGAUCCCUAGCGGGUCUGAGAGGAUGACCAGCCACACUGGAACUGAGACACGGUCCAGACUCCUACGGGAGGCAGCAGUGGGGAAUAUUGAACAAUGGGCGCAAGCCUGAUGCAGCCAUGCCGCGUGUGUGAAGAAGGCCUUCGGGUUGUAAAGCACUUUAAGCGGGGAGGCGUUACCCGCAGAAGAAGCACCGGCUAACUCCGUGCCAGCAGCCGCGGUAAUUC
rnacentral:rRNA from 1 species